rnacentral:lncRNA from 1 species
AGGCAGUGGUCCAAUGAGAAAGAAAGACAGGAGGGCAGGAUUCGUCGUGGUCGGGCGAAUUAAUUCCAUUAAAGAAAAAGGAACGAAGUCACCUGAGCUACGCGAAGGGAAGGAAGUCGUGGGCUGAGCCGGAGGUCACUUUUCCCGAUCCAUCCCGAAGGUUUUUUUCCCUCUCUCGCCCAUCAAGCUUUUCAAGGUCCCCUUCUCAGAACAGCAGCAAGUCAGCACCUGGUCGAAUUCGAAAAUUUUUGUAAUAUCCCAAAAACGAGGAUCCUAUAGGAGCAAGAUUAUCCC